CUUGCUAAGUUUGAUGGCGACCGGCGCACGGGUGAGUAACACGUAUCCAACCUGCCGAUAACUCGGGGAUAGCCUUUCGAAAGAAAGAUUAAUAUCCGAUAGUAUAUUAAAACCGCAUGGUUUUACUAUUAAAGAAUUUCGGUUAUCGAUGGGGAUGCGUUCCAUUAGUUUGUUGGCGGGGUAACGGCCCACCAAGACUACGAUGGAUAGGGGUUCUGAGAGGAAGGUCCCCCACAUUGGAACUGAGACACGGUCCAA
rnacentral:rRNA from 1 species